UACGAAGGGGGCUAGCGUUGUUCGGAAUUACUGGGCGUAAAGCGCGCGCAGGCGGUCUUCCAAGUCAGUGGUGAAAGCCUGGAGCUCAACUCCAGAACUGCCAUUGAAACUGUUAGACUUGAGUACGAGAGAGGUGAGUGGAAUUCCCAGUGUAGAGGUGAAAUUCGUAGAUAUUGGGAAGAACACCAGUGGCGAAGGCGGCUCACUGGCUCGAUACUGACGCUGAGGCACGAAAGCGUGGGGAGCAAACAGG
rnacentral:rRNA from 1 species